AUUUAUGGGAAUUGAAUGGGGAAGAUAAUCUUUUCUGACAACUAUAUUUUCCUAUUAAUGCCUCUUCCCAUCCUGGAUAACAGGUUAAUAUUCCUGUACUACUUCUUGUUGAGAUCUUCUUGCUGGUCUCAAGGGACGGAGGAGGCUAGGUUAACUGAAAGAUGGUUAUCGGUUCAAGGACGCAAGGUGACCCUGCUUUUUUCAGGGUAAGAAGGGGUAGAGAAAAUGCCUCGAGCCAAUGUCUGAGUACCAAGCGCUACAACGUUGAAGUAACCCAUGCCACUCCCAGGAAAAGCUCGAACAACCUUUAACAAAUGAGUACCUGUACCCAAAACCAACACAGGUAGGUAGGUAGAGAAUACCUA
rnacentral:ncRNA from 1 species